GAUUCCUUAGUGUAGUGGUUAUCACGUUAGUCUAACACACUGAAGGUCCCGAGUUCAAACCUCGGAGGAAUCA